UACGUAGGUGGCAAGCGUUGUCCGGAUUUACUGGGUGUAAAGGGCGUGUAGCCGGGAAGGCAAGUCAGAUGUGAAAUCUGGAGGCUCAACCUCCAAACUGCAUUUGAAACUGCUUUUCUUGAGUAUCGGAGAGGUAAUCGGAAUUCCUUGUGUAGCGGUGAAAUGCGUAGAUAUAAGGAAGAACACCAGUGGCGAAGGCGGAUUACUGGACGACAACUGACGGUGAGGCGCGAAAGCGUGGGGAGCAAAC
rnacentral:rRNA from 1 species